ACCGAUCUAGGGUUGCGCGGUGCUCACGGGAAGCUCCACCGAAGCCACACCCUUCUCCGUCACCAUCGUCGUCACCACCACACCGAUGGAGGCCAGCGGGAGUUCCUCGAGUGCAGGACAAGGUAAUACCUACAACUACUACCGGACCUAUCUAGACUAGCAGAUCCAUGGGUUCUAUCAGGAUAUACAUGUGCGACAUCACCUCCACCGACGGGACUGCAUCAAGGAUAUGUUCUUCCUUUUCUUGCUGAUACUCUUCAGCAUGCUUGUAAUUCAUUGAGUAACCCUAGGUAGGUGCUCUAAGAUUAUUUAAAAUUAUAUUAUAA
rnacentral:lncRNA from 1 species